UCGGAACGUCUCUCUCUUGAGAGUUGUCAACUUGGUCAUUUAGAGGAAGUAAAGUCGUAACCAAGGUUUCCGGUAGGUGAACCUGCGGAAGGAUCAUUA
rnacentral:rRNA from 1 species